rnacentral:rRNA from 1 species
GACGAACGCUGGCGGCGUGCUUAACACAUGCAAGUCGAACGGAAAGGCCCGGCUUUUGUGGGGUGCUCGAGUGGCGAAGGGGUGAGUAACACGCGAGUAACCUGCCCUUGACUGUGGGAUAACUUCAGGAAACUGGGGCGAAUACCGGAUAUGAGCUCCUGCUGCAUGGGGGGGGUUGGAAAGUUUCGGCGGUUGGGGAUGGACUCGCGGCUUAUGAGCUUGUUGGGCAGGUAGUGGCUUACCAAGGCUUUGACGGGUAGCCGGCGUGGGAGCGUGACCGGGCACCAUGGGCCUGCGAGACGCCGCAGUCGCCUAUGGGCCGCAGCGGUCGGGAGUAUUGCGGAAUGGCGCGACGCCUGUUGCGGAGGUCUCCCGUGCGUGAUACCGGGUUUCGAGUUGUGAACAGAUGUCGAAUGUACCGAAGAGUGAGUGACGGUACUGGGUCAGGAAGCCCCGGCUAACUACGUG